CUUCACCCCCGCCCCACCCCCUGCCCUUUAUCCUCUAGUGGUUUAGCUGAAGACAAUGCUGAGGCAAUUAAUAGUGCCCUUUGAGGACUUGUCACUAGGAAGCUCUUUAAUCCAGCCACCUGAGUUGGGGCCGCAGGCAUGUGACAGGGAUGGGGGGGUGCCAGGACUGUGUGGCAGCUGCUUGGGUGAGGCACAGGCACCGUGUAGAAACCAGGUUGGGAGGCCUAGCUUCCCUAGACACAUAGAUUAUGUGGACAUAGCAGGGGUCAUUGUUUUUCAUUGUAGUUUGUCUCUCACUAGAAUUUUGGUCUUGCUAGCCGGCUGCAGAACCAAGAUCUUAGAGGUGGGGUGCCAAGCAACACACCUGCCAACUACAGGGGCCAUCACAGGAAAAAUUUCCCCCAGCAUGUGGCACCUUAAAGAGGGGACAUCGUGUGGUGGAUGGCAUGUGUUAGGGUGCAGUGGGGCGGGCGGUAACCUCUCUCCUCAGCUCUUCCUACCCCAAAGCUGUGCUCCUGGGAGGCCUGGGGAGCUGGUGGGGAAGGAGUUCAGGUCCAGGUAAGAGCCACACCGGGGGAGGAGAAGACUAGGCAGAGGGAGGGCCCUGGGCCUCCAGGCCUGUCUCUGCCAUGUCUGAUUUCACAGUGUCUCUCACAGUCUCUCACACAACAACCAUCGUCUGUAGCCAGACCAUGCCGGGGCAGCAGGAGCCCUGAUGCCGAGGUGGACCCUGUCUACAAUUUUGUGUACUGUGUGUGUGUGGUGGGUGGGUGUCGGCUGUGUGUACUCUCGGGGCCUGCCCACCUGGCCUUCAUGAGUCGGGUAGUGGGGUCCCCACUGUCUCUCAAAACUGCUUUCCAUAAGCGAUGAACCUGGCUUCGGUCCUCGCCAGCUCCUCUGGUCGCCACUAGAGGGCAGCAGCCAACACAGCCCGGCAAGGGGAACUUUGGCGGCCGACUUCCGGCCGUACCGCCUCCUACUUCCACCUCCCCGCACCUUCCUAGCCCCUGGGGAUGUGCAGGUCCCCAGCGUGUGGGUGGACCACUGGGACCACAGAUCCUACUAAGGAUGUCCUUGGCCUCAGGCAUAGUGAAUGUGUAAGUCUGUUAGAAUGAGAAGGGGAGUGGGUGAAGACAGUGGAGGGGACCAGGGGUGGUCAAAGCCAGAACCCUGAGGUGUAUUCAUUUGUUCCUGCAAGGAUAAAGGCAGGGGAGAAGAGGAAAAGCCCGGGGGACCAGGCAGCCUGCAGGGAGAUGAGGCAGGACCCAGCCCACUGGCCAAAUGGCACCUGAUGACAAGGCAGGCAGAAUCACCCUAACUGCAAAGUCAGGUGACUCAACUCAGAAAGACCAGAGAAAACCAUGUGGACUCCGGAGCCAGCCUGCCCCGGUUUGACCCCUGGCUGCUUAAAAUAUUAGUGGUAUGACUUUGGACAAGAUAUUGAACCUCUCCGUGCCUUGGUUUCUUAGCUGUGAUGGAGACAGUAAUAGUAUCGCCUGUGCUAGAUGUGUGUAUUAAAUAGGUUAGUACAUACAAAUCACAUAGAGCAGUGUCUGACACAGAGAAAGAACACUAUAAAUGCUAGCAAUUAUUGCUUUCUGCACUUCAUCUCAGCCAAAAACCUGAAAAGAAAUUUGGUCUUUGUUUUCUGAAGCAGAGACACCUAUUAUGUUGAAAUAACUAGUUUCCCCUAGAACCCUCUCAUGAAAUAUACGGAGUUGGUCCUUCACCCUACAAACAUUAAAUGGUAACAUUUGUGUGUGGUUUUUUUUUCUCUCUUUUUCUUUUUUUUCCCUUGAG
rnacentral:lncRNA from 1 species